CAGUCGCCGCGGGAAUACGUAUGUCACAAGCGUUAUCCGGAUUUAUUGGGCGUAAAGCGCGUCUAGGUGGUUAUGUAAGUCAGAUGUGAAAAUGCAGGGCUCAACUCCGUAUUGCGUUGGAAACUGUGUAACUAGAGUACUGGAGAGGUAAGCAGAACUACAAGUGUAGAGGUGAAAUUCGUAGAUAUUUGUAGGAAUGUCGAUGGGGAAGCCAGCUUACUGGACAGAUACUGACGCUAAAGCGCGAAAGCGUGGGUAGCAAACAGGAUUAGAUACCCCUGUAGUCCCUGUCUCUUAUACA
rnacentral:rRNA from 1 species